GGAAAUGUAGACGAAGCUGAGAUAAUUGACAGCUCCAUGUUAAACAUAUUUCAGCUAAACAUUUUGCUGACAAAAGAAAAAUCGAAAUUAAAGGAAUACAAUGUAGAAGUUCUUUAUUAAAAAACAUGCAUGAGUAUUCACACAAAACUCACAGCAAUUACAAUACUUGGAAUAAAAACCCCAAAAGGAUUUGCAAUGAGUGUUAUUUAGGCUAGAUUAUGUUGGUGUUACAGAAAUAUUGGUAACCCUUAACAACUUUAGAAAGUAUUCUACUGGACUACUUAUAAACCAUUAACAUACCCUUUAUAAAGUACACCAUGUAAAUUGUUGCCAAAAUACUUUACAGGUAGACAAGAAUUUCAAAACAUAAUUUAGAAACAUAUUAAUUCUCAAAUAAUAGAAAUCACUGCACUUUCCAUUUAAAACAAUUACAUUUAAUCAUUAAAAUAAAAUUUUAUUCAACCUUAAACCUAACAAAAUAAUUGUCAGCCUAAACUGAAGACUACAACACGGCAAUGUGCAAUAAAUAAAUGCAGAAAUAUUUUUUUCUUCAUUCAGAGAAUAGGCCAAUAGCAAAUAUAUCUCUUCAGAAGGCGAGGUCAGUACAGGUGCAUCAAAGCUGGGACCGAGAGACAGAAAAACAGCUUCUAUCAAGGCCAUCAGACUGUUAAAUAGCCAUCACUAGCCAGUUACUCAACCCUGCACCUUAGAGGCUGCUACCCUAUAUACAUAGACAUGGAAUCACUGGUCACUUUAAUAAUGUUUAUGUAACCGGUGUGAAAUGGCUAGCUAGUUAGCGGGGUGCACGCUUAAAGCGUUUCAAUCGGUGACGUCACUCGCUCUGAGACCUUGAAGUAGUUGUUCCCCUUGCUAUGCAAGGGCCGUGGCUUUUGUGGAGUGAUAGAUAACGAUGCUUCGUGGGAGGUAGUUGUUGAUGUGUGCAGAGGGUCCCUGGUUCGGGGCAAGGAGGGGACGGAAGCAAAACUGUUACAUUUACAUACUGCUUUACUCAUCGCAUAUGUAUAUACUGUAUUCUAUUCUACUGUAUUUUAGCCAAUGCCACUCUUUAUUUUUAGAUUUGUUUGUAUUGUUAGAUAUUACUGCACUGUUGGAGCUAGGAACACAAGCAUUUUUGCUACACCCGCAAUAACAUCUGAUAAAUAUGUGUAUGUGACCAAUUUGAUAUCAAUAAAUAACCAUCCAUUACAAUAGGCUUGCAGGGCUACUCAAAUAUAAUACACGUAUUGUUUAACAUUGUAGUUGUGUGGGAGAGAGUCCUCGUGGCCCAUUGGGGGUGAGGGGGUUACACAUCAGAAGGGGAGGCCAUUACAGAGCAGAAACUAACAGCACCAUCAGCAGUCCCAGAAGGUGACAGAGAGGACUAGGGCACAGGGCCAGCCCGGAUGAAAUGCCUGCAUUGGGACACAAACACAAAAGCAACACUAACUGUAUGGAGACAAAGUCAACAACAUCAACUCAACAAUAAAGGAGCAUACAAUUGCAUCCUACAUCCAACACUCCUUCAAACCUUGAGCUGUCCUUCUUCCACUAGAUCCUGAUUCCUCUUCUUAUUCAGACUCAAAGUUACAAAAUAUACAUGCUGAAAGUAUGUACUGACAUAAUACGCAUCUAAUUUAAUUACCCUCUGCUAAGAUCAAGACAAUGUUAGCUUCAGUGAAACGUGUAAGGCUGACUACGAGAACCCGUCGGAUAUCGAGCCCUCAUAAUUGGGAAAAAGCCCGAAUCUGGAAAUUGAGAUUUUGGUUGUUUAGGAUUAUUUAAACGCUUUACUUUAUUGUAAUGUAAAUUUCACCUUUUUUUUGUCAUUAGCCAGCAAUGUGCCCAAUGUGAAAAACGCUCAUUUAAACUUGCCUGGGAGUGUUCCAGUUGACUUGGCACAUUCAAGACAACAUGCAACAGAUCAAUGAAAUCAGGCUGGUUUAGACACAUAAUAAUUUGCUAGAUAGUUAGUAAUAUAAUAGUAUAAAGUUGUCAUUCACAAUAAACAAUGUAGUUAUGAAUACAAGUGGGUCAGACGUUCAUUUUGUCUAUAAGUAGCCGUAGGCCACGCCAGAGCAAACCUUCAUAAAAGAAGUGCACACAUUCUUCCGAUGUUGCUUGAUCAGUGGGUUGGCCUGUUCGCUGCCAAAAUGACAUGAAAAUGGAUCAAAGUAUAUAAACAGUAUUGCCUUAAUUUCAUCCGUUCAGAAUUAUUUUGAUUUUAGGUAACAAAGCAAUUGAGAUCCUAUUCUAAAACUUGGUAAGUUUGGACGUCAUUAUCUGUCAUUUUGAGCCGCAACCAAUUUCUUGCUAGCGAUUUUACAAUAAUUAUUAUCUUCAGUCACCUCAUCAUGGAUGGAGAGCUGAGAGCAUCUUCAAUGAGGAGAAAGCAAGGUAUAUUACGCUAGGUAAGUACACAGUGUAUUAGCUAGACUUUAUAAAACCUACCAGGCCUUCACUACCUGCAGAUGAUGAGGUGACAGAAGAUAAUUAUUGUAUUUGUUCAAUGUAGCUUUAAAAAAAAUAAACAUUUCACGAUAUGGGUUUCCUAGGGUUUCCCUAGGCCGCCACACAUAUGAAAAUCAUGUAAGAAAAUGGUGUACACUCGAAACAUUUCAGCAGGUGAAAGUUACUUACCACGGAAGUCAACAGGUUUGUCACCCCAGACGUUGAGCACCAUUUCGGGCGGCAGGUAGCCUAGUGGUUAGAGCGUUGGACUAGUAACCGAAGUUUGCAAGAUCGAAUCCCGAGCUGACAAGGAAAAAUCUGUCGUUCUGCCCCUGAACAACCCACUGUUCCUAGGCCGUCAUUGAAAAUAAGCUUUUACUGACUUGCCUAGUUAAAAAAAAUAGACAUAGCUGCACACGUGACAAAAGCAAGCGCUGUUUAUAGGAGAACAUGCUGAUCUGGACAAUUCACAUGAACACAAAGAAAAACAACAAUUUGAUAGGUGGCAAUACAAAACAUGGAAGAUAAACUGACAUGUCUUAUUGAAUCAUAGGCAUUUUGAAUCCGCACACUUACAGCCAGAAUGGUGUAAGUCCUUCAACCUUCACCAAAGAUGACAUGGCCAUAUCUGGGAGGCCAGCUGCAGUUAUAAGAGGAUUUGAAACUAAUUUCAGGCACUAGACAUAUUUGUGGUAGCAAAACAACAAAAGGCGUGUAAUGUACAUUACAAAAGGUGUGUGUUCAUGUACAUUACACAGUGCUCCAACCUCAAUGAAGACCUCAGGGCUCCAGGAGCUUAUGGGUCCAAAAGCCAGGCUGUGGCUCAGCAGUCCCGUUAAAGCCUCUUCUGAACAGGCCAGCCUCACAUGGCCCAGCCACAGAACUGCCGUACCGCAGCCAGGAGGGGGAGAGGUCACAGGUAUUGCUGGAGCAGAGAGGACAGGAGUCAGGUCAUAGACGUUACCUGCUGAGUGUUCCAGGCUCGUCUUCCUGCCAAGGUCCUGUUGGUCAACAGCAGACUAGCCCUGGUCAGCACACUGAGUAGAGGGGUGCUGUGGAGCAGGGGCUCCACCUUAUCCAACCAGCCAGUCACCUCUGGAGUGAAGGGUACAGAGGCCAGGGCUGUCAGCACAGGGCUGAGCUUCUGUAGGAAGUCCACACCCAGCCAGGGCAAGAAGGGAGGCAGCUGAGAGAGAGCCAGUAGACUGAAGCUCAAUCCCAUUCAGGAACAAGCUGGAGAUCUGAAGAGGGAUGGUCACAAGCGUAACACACACAUAUAUUUACACAGGAAUCACACAAAGUGCAAACACAAGACAUUCAACCCAUAGAUUAAUCUAGUUCACUCAUACACAUAUGAGUUUCACCUUGAAUUUUGCGGUGAAAAAUAAAGUAGUUCUAUGGUAAGGAAUAACAGCGUCAGUCUGUGUCUGUCUGUGACAGCUCCACUUACCAUGUCCCUGGGGCUCCUGAGGCCCCGGACAACACGUCCUAAUGUUGUCCUGAAUCACAGAGAAGGCCUCUGCGUUUCUGUACACCCGCAGGUCCUUUGGGUCUGACAGACACGUCAGGUUGCCAAGCCUAGGGAGACAAAGAUGAUAAUUACUCAAGCGUAUCCAAAGAUACUCUUGGAUCCCAAACAGUUGGUUACUUCAGUGUCUACCAGAAUGUUGAGUUUCAUAGGACUAGGGAAAGUAUUUUCUUGAAAACGCAUACACUCAAAUCAGAUUGUUUGAAACCGAAUCUUUCUGCAAGACAGGAUACAUGACCAACCAUCGAUCAAAUAUUGUGACACUGA
rnacentral:lncRNA from 1 species